rnacentral:rRNA from 1 species
GACGAACGCUGGCGGCGCGCUUAACACAUGCAAGUCGAACGGAAAGGCCCUGCUUUUGUGGGGUGCUCGAGUGGCGAACGGGUGAGUAACACGUGAGUAACCUGCCCUUGACUUUGGGAUAACUUCAGGAAACUGGGGCUAAUACCGGAUAGGAGCUCCUGCUGCAUGGUGGGGGUUGGAACGUUUCGGCGGUUGGGGAUGGACUCGCGGCUUAUCAGCUUGUUGGUGGGGUAGUGGCUUACCAAGGCUUUGACGGGUAGCCAGCCUGAGUGGGUGACCGGCCACAUUGGGACUGAGAUACGGCCCAGACUCCUACGGGAGGCAGCAGUGGAGAAUAUUGCACAGUGGGCGGAAGCCUGAUGCAGCGACGCCGCGUGCGGGAUGACGGCCUUCGGGUUGUAAACCGCUUUCGCCUGUGACGAAGCGUGAGUGACGGUAAUGGGUAAAGAAGCACCGGCUAACUACGUG